UCCCGACAGUCCAAGUCGCAGCCAGCAUUAUUGGGUCUAAAACAUCCGUAGCUUGCUCUACAAGUUUCUUGUGAAAUUUGACGUCUCAAGCGUCGAGCGUGCAAGAAAUACUGUUUAGCUAGAGACCGGUAGAUGUAAGGAGUACACUCAAGGUAGUAGUAAAAUACGUUAAUCUUGGGCGGACUAACAAUUAGCGAAGGCACCUUACAAGGACGGAUCUGACAGUGAGGGAUGAAGGCCAAGGGCGCAAAAC
rnacentral:rRNA from 1 species